rnacentral:rRNA from 1 species
AUUUUACGUAGGUGGCUGCAUGGUUGUCGUCAGCUCGUGCCGUGAGGUGUCGGGUUAAGUCCCAUAACGAGCGCAACCCUACCCUUUAGUUGCCAUCAGGUAAUGCUGGGGACGUCUAAAGGAACUGCCUACGCAAGUAGUGAGGAAGGCGGGGAUGACGUCAAAUCAGCACGGCCCUUACGUCCAGGGCUACACACGUGCUACAAUGGCCGAUACAGAGGGCAGCUACCUGGUGACAGGAUGCAAAUCUCCAAAGUCGGUCUCAGUUCGGAUCGGAGUCUGCAACCCGACUCCGUGAAGUUGGAUUCGCUAGUAAUCGCGCAUCAGCCAUGGCGCGGUGAAUACGUUCCCGGGCCUU